UAUGCUGUGGACUAACCGGUAAGUCAUAAAUUUUUGGUGUUUACAUAUAAGUGUUCAAAUCACUUCAGCAUAA
rnacentral:tRNA from 1 species